rnacentral:rRNA from 1 species
AUUGAACGCUGGCGGCAGGCCUAACACAUGCAAGUCGAACGAGCGGCAGACGGGUGAGUAAUGUAUGGGGAUCUGCCUGAUAGAGGGGGAUAACUACUGGAAACGGUGGCUAAUACCGCAUACUAUCGGAUGUGCCCAUAUGGGAUUAGCUAGUAGGUGGGGUAAAGGCUCACCUAGGCGACGAUCCCUAGCUGGUCUGAGAGGAUGACCAGCCACACUGGGACUGAGACACGGUCCAGACUCCUACGGGAGGCAGCAGUGGGGAAUAUUGGACAAUGGACGCAAGUCUGAUCGAGCCAUGCCGCGUGUAUGAAGAAGGUUUUCGGAUUGUAAAGUACUGUUGAUGGAGAGGCGGUACCUGCCCAGGAAGCACCGGCUAACUACGUGCCAGCAGCCGCGGUAAUAC